GUUCACUCUCUGCUUUUAUGUUUGUCCAUCCAGCCUGCUGCUUCCUUCAGUGAUGGCCUUCUGUCCUUCUGGAGCUGUAAGCCAAGGCUCACCCCUUCUCCUGCGAUGGUUUGUCGCAGCAAUAGCAGCGUGACUAACAGACCUAGAAAUCUCUGUGUGAGAAAGGAAUGUCACAUUCCAAACUCUCACUUUUGUCACUCCACUCCUGCUGAGACCAGUGACACAAUGCCACAGAGGGAAGCACCAGGGAUAUCAUAUCCACAUAUUUAAGGAAAAGAAAACAAUUUUAAGACGUGAUCCAACUCAGAAAGGGAAGAACAACUUCUGGAGUUCCCCGGCUGUAGCACUCCGGAAUGCCACCAGCACCACAGAGUACUAUCAGUACCACCACAUUGACAGCCAUCAUUGUUGGAGCACUGUCUUCAGAGGCUUUCCAGUGUGCCAUAUGUUGGGCUAUGUGGCUACAGCAUGAGCUCGCAAUUUAUCUCAUAGUCCUCUGGGCUUGGUGUUAAUGUAGAGUCUUUCACAAUUGAGGCAAGUGAAGUCUACCACAUGGGCUGUUGGCACACAAGGUGUCUAGAAAGGUGGAGCCGGCUCUUCCAGAUCUGCCUGACUAUGUGGGCCAGGUGCCAACAGAGCCCCUCCUCUGGCUGGAGGUCCCAGGCUAUUGUACAACUAGUUACCGGGAGUGAACUCCCUAGUUGGAAAGAAGGAUAAGGGUAGGAGGACGUGAGGAUGCCCAGGACAAGCAGGCAGACAAUGGUACCCAUCAUGCAAUUCAGAAGGUUGUAGAGACUCUACAACUUGGCUUUUUAUCUGUGCCCUAUCAUCACUGGGAAAAACAUCACCAUGCAAUGCACAGCUCUGUCAACAUUGCAGUCAAUCAUUUUCUUGACAUCCUUGACUCCAGAGGCCUUCAGUUGGACUCUGUUUUAGCCACUUGCCCUCUUGGUAUACUUGCUCCAUACAUCCUGUAGAAGAUUCCCAUGUAGGCUACUCUCCCAUCAAUAUUUUCUGUCUUCACUGGACCUCAAUAAGACCCCCCCACAAACCUUCAGUCUGCCCUAGUUAUAUAUAAAUUUUGUCCUGUAUUUACUACUCACCCCCCAAACCAGUCUCAGCCCCUGGAAUAUGACCACUGCUCACUUCUUCAGCCUUGUUGCCUACUGCAGCCUUGGCCACCCUUGACAUCUGUACAUUCUUAGACUUAGCCUUUUCUACAGUGUUUGACAAAGACUAGACAGAGGUCAAGGCCCAAGUAAGGUCUUAUCUCUCUAGCUAACUAGACUUGCCAUCUCUCUAUCUCCCUAUCCCCAUGCCUAUCACUAUCCCAAUUCUUCCUCUCAUCUUUAUCUUUAUCAUCCCUAUCUCUCUCCAUCGUCUCUAGCUCUAUUAUCUUUAUCUCUAUCAUCUCUAUUUCUAUAUCUAUCACCUCUAUCUCUAUCCUUACUAUCUCUUCCUUUUGUUAUUGAAGAUUGAACCCAGGAUCUUGCAAUACUAACCCAUGCUCUUAUUACCACUGAGCUGUACCUCAAAUUUCUACAUGGUUUCUACAUAGUAUUUAUUCACCUUUAGGAACUGAAAAUCUGUUUUUAUCUGUUUCAAGACCAUUAGAACUUCAAGAUCAAUUGUUAUUGUUUCUUUUGAGACCUUCCUCACCACCCAGAAACCUCACAGGCCUAUGCUUCCUGAAGUCUCACGAUACUCUAAAUUGUACUACAAAUUAAAUACAUGUGCUCUGGCCAAGCCAUGCUUCCAAUGGAAGAGUUUAUCCUACACCUGAGAAACUUAUUAGUGGGGAGGAAAUGAGUGUCUCUCCUGCACCGUGUUUGGGCCUGGCUUGUUACCAAGCUCCAAGGAAGCUUCAUGAGUGGAAAUGGUGGGGAUCAAGUCUUUGAAAGUCUCUUUGACCACAAAUCUCCCAAGAUACCAGCAGUGACAGGGCCCUGGAGUAAAAAAAUUCUCCCUGCAUACUUCUUAGAGGAGCUGGUUGAAAAGCUGGUCAAGUGACUCAUUGGUCCCAGCCUCUGAUCCUGGCCAGACCUGCCUUCAGCUUCUGAAUUUCUGGAGAAGCCAGCAGGACGCCACGCAGGAAGUGACCUCAUGGUUAUUUUGGCCAUGUGGGUGGUGUUCAUCGCUGGUAGCAGCUGAAGUUUAUCAGAAGGUUUAGCCUUUGCACUUUGAGAAACCAACUAUUAUCUCACCCACAAUUUAGAAUAAUAAAAAGUACAUGGCAAAAAAAUGUGCAGUGAACCCAGAUAAAGACAACUGGGGAAGAACUUGCUGUUCCUGCCCACGUGACCCAGGGACACAGACAUCUGCACUCUGAAGCCGCACCAGGGAGGUGCUACCUGCACCAGCUUUGACAGAUUUCAUGGAGGGUAGGCUGAAAGUAGAGGAAAAAUACUUUUCUUCCUUCCUUCCUUCCUUCCUUCCUUCCUUCCUUCCUUCCUUCCUUCCUUCCUUCCUCCCUUCCUUCCUUCUUUCCUUUUCUUUCUUUUUUUUUAAGCUAAUAAUUCACGUUCAUCAAGUAAAUAAGAUACUAUUUAGUGAAAGAAAAAGAAAGGAUUUGGGCUGGACUUCAAGCAUUUUGUUAUACCUUUAAAAUUAUUGGGGCCAGAAAAGUGGUUCAAUAGUUAACAUUGUUGCUGUUUUCCCAGAGAACUACAGUUUAAUUCCCAGCACCCAUUAGGUCUGCUCACAACCACUUGUAACUCCAACUCUGGGUGAUCUGAUGCCCUCGUCUGGACUCCAUGGGCAUCGUCACACAUGUGUGCACACACAUACACAUAAAUAAAAAUAAAAUCAGUAUAUAUUAAUUGUACAAAGUAAUGGCUUAAUUAUGACAUUUACAUGCAUGUUUCUAAUGUACUCUGGUCAUAUUUAUUUUGUUACCCUCUCCAGCCUCCCCCUCUUUCUUUUUGCCUUCUCUAUCCUCAAUAGUCCACCUUCUACUUCCUUGUCCCUCCUCACAUCAGAUUGCAGACUGAGAGAACCAUGUACCAUUUGCGAGGCUGGCUUAUUUUGCUUAACAUGAUGUCUCCAGUUCAUCCAUUUUUCUGCAAGUGCAAUGGUUUCCUUCUAUGGCUAAAUAAAACUCUACUGUGUGCAUAGACCAUGUUUUCUCUACCCAUCUGUCUGUUGGAUCUAAAAAGAUAUCUUUAAAAAAGACUGAAUGAACAUAGAGCUGAAAGAUAAAGAGGUUGAUGUAAAAUGUGGACCAUCUCAGCCACCCUGCUCCUUGACAUUUCCCGCCACCGUCCAAGUGGGUAGAGAUGGGAUGAGAGAACUUCCGACCUCCACAGUGUGCCCUGUCUGCGAGCAGCCAUGGUUUGUGGGCUUGGUCCCUUCAAGAAGUCACAAUUACCAUCCAGUGUGACCACAGUUUAUUUGGAGUAUCACUUCUCCUUGGUGUCUCACAACUACCAUGGCUCUGCGGUGUGGAAGAGACUAUGAGGGCAGUUGUGUGUUUGCUAGUAGGAUUCCUGAAGGGAAGUCAACAAGUUCUCCAAAAGGAGCUUGUCACAACGUGAACUCACAGAGUGAGUGAAGGCUGCAUGGUAAUGGGAAGUUACUCACAUACCGUAACAGACGCUCACAGCCAUCUGGCCGUCUGGCCUUCUCUCCAUACCCACAUUACUUCUUGCUGUAAUGAGGUUAAUGGGAAUUAAUACAUAUGUAUUAGGGAAAGGAGAAGCCCUUAGGGAUAUGAGCUAAAUAUCAGUGCAGUGCUUCUCUAUAGGUAGAUGACAGGGUACUUGAGGGAGCACUGAGUAAUGGUUGAAAGAUAAAUUACACACAGGCUAGUCAAUAUCUUACCAAUUAAGCUUACUCUAUUCCUGAAGAGUACAUUUCUGAGAAAAACACUGGCAUCUAAGCAGUUCAAACAAUUACGUCUUACUGUGUCCUUUCAUGGGGCAAUUUCUUUACAUACUGACUUUCAUACAAAUAGACAACAGAAACAUAAAGUGUUUCAAAAUUGUGCCUGUGGGAAUGACAUUCAUUGACUAGUAAGAGGAAGCCAUCCCACAAGGCAGUGCUAGAGAAAGAAACCCCACAAAAUUUAUGAUGUACUGGACCAGGCUGCAUGUUCCUCGGCCACCUCCUAAGGAGCAAAGGAUUUGAUAGACUUCUUUACUCCCUGUCUUCUCUCUUCCCAUCAGUUGUCUCUAGUCCAUGCUAUUAAUUAUUUGUAUAGUGCCCAUGUUGCAAAAUAUAUAUCAUGCUUUAUGAGCACUGGACAGUGCUUCUCUGCAACUUAUAUCACGUGGCUCUAUCAGCCCACUGUCUAAACAUUCAUGCAGAGGCCUGCGUGAUUGUCCUGAUGAAUUGAUUUUGCUCAGCCUCCAUGUUCCUAUUAGAGCAGUGUUUUAUCUCUAUGUAGAUAUACACACACACUCAAUAUUCACUGGUGCUAAAAUAAAUAUUGUGACUUUGUGGAGAGAAUGGCCUCACGGAGUAAUAGGAGGCAUCAGAUGGUCCUUAUCAGUCACGCAGACAGGAGUGCAGCUUGGAGCUGGUUCAUCUUAUUGUUUGGGGUGCUUCCCCUUCCCCCCAACCUGGGGAAGGGUUCUGUUCUUCAUCAGAUCAAAUCCUGUGCAGUGCUCGUAGACAGUGUACAGGACAAAUCUCGAGAUAUUCGGUCAAGUCUAUCAGUUGGACUUGUUCAACAAAAGAUUUGCUCCCGGCAUUCAUCGACCUCUUAGCAAGUGUGUGUUAGGCUCUAUGGGAAAUUUCAAAGAGCUAGUCUUUAAAAAAUGAAAGCCAAAAUGGCUCAAGGUUGAAUUUAUUGUUUGAUUGUUUUACCAGCUAUAUUGAGAUCUAAUUCACAUAUCAAACAAUCCAUCCAUUCAGAGUGUUUGGAAUUGAACCUCAUCAUUGCCCCAAUUAUUUUGAGGACAUUUUAUCACCUAUAAGAGAAAUUUCAUACCAAUGAACAGUCACUUCUCAGUGUUCUCUCCUUAAGGCUACCUGCUCCAGGCAACCUAGUAAUCUAUCUUCUGCUCUAUGGUUUUGCUACAUCUGGAAUGCUUCUUACAAAUGGAAUCAAUAUGUGUUUAUUAUGACUGGCUUCUUUCACUGGGCAUAAUGUAUUUAAGAUUCCUGAAGUGUUUUAUCAGUACUUCAUUAUUUUUUACUGCUGAAUAAUAUUCCAUUAUUUUGGAUAUACCAUGUUUAUCGACCCAUCAGUUGAUGGGCACUUUGGUUGUGCUCACAUUUUGACUAUUAUGUAUAAUGCCCCAGUGAACGUUUGUGUAAAGUGUUUGGUUCCAAAAAUGAUACAAAUGUAUCCAUUUCUCUUGGGAACAUAUUAAAGAGUGCAAUUUCUGGAUAAUAUGACAAUUCUGUUUAAAUUUUAGAGGCAUUACCAAACUAUUUCCUAAAGUGUUGUACUAUUUUUAAUACCAUCAGUAGUGUGAAAGUGCUUUAAUUUCUCAACAUGCUUGCCAAUGCUUAUUGUCUUGGCUUUUCUAUGUCUUUUGUAGUGGAUGUGAACUAUGGUCUCAAAAUAGUUUUGAUUCUUGUCCCCCUGUGACGAAUAUUGUUGAACAUAUUUUUACAAGCUCAUCAGCUGUUUGUAUAUCUUCUUUGAAGAAUGUCUCCCUUAGAGCCAUUGCUCACUUAAAAUCUUCCCCACACAGUCCAGCUAUCCAGCUUUGGCAAUGUGUGUGCGUCUUUUGUUCUCUCCCAUCCGGUGUGUGUAGACCCAUCUUGGUGGUCUCUGUUGAACAGAGUCAUCUUAGCUUUGGUCAGGCCUACUUUGCCCAGGGCUAUUGCUUCCUUGUUCAUUUUUGUCACUUGUGCUUUCAGUGCUUUGGCUAAUGCAGGCUUAAAGAGUCACUCCUGUAAAUCCUCUCAAAAGCCUUCCAUUAUUGGAAGUUAGAAAUAUAAUAUCAAUACACAUAAAUCUCUAAGUAUUACUUUUGAAUUGUCUAUUUUUCUUUUCAUUUCUGUCAUGUUUUGCUUUGUCUAUUUGAGGGCUUAUUUAUUAUCUCUUAUAACUGUUAUAUCUUCUUCAAGAACUGGCCUUUUAAUUACAAUAUGUACUUCUUUAAUUCUGGUAACAACAUUUGUUUUCAAGUUGUUGGUCUGAUAUUAGUCCAGCCACUCCAACUUUCUCACACAUAUAUAUUACAAACAACAUACACGCAUGCGCACUCACGUGUGUGUGUGUGUGUGUAUUUCUGAAUAUAUAAAAGAUGCUUUAAAAAUGAAAAUGGUAAUCAUCCUGCAUGUAUUUCUUAUAAUCAAGCAAUUCUAGUUCAACAAUGUAGCAGAGGUAUGUGCAUAUGCAUAAAGAAACAGCAUAUACUAGAAAUAGAAUAUUCACAGAAGUAGUAUUUUUAAUAGCAUCAAGUUGAAAACAACUGAAAUGCCCAUUAGUGGAAUAGAUAAGAAAU